rnacentral:lncRNA from 1 species
CUUCCUUGUGUCACGGGCACAAUGCUUCACCCCAAUGAAAGCACCCAUGCGGCACUAGUAAACUCACCCCAAGCUUGAGAAUACUAGUCAGCCUUACCCCAAAUAUGCCAACUUAGACAAUAGAGAAGUGCGUAGCGGAAGCUUAAGAAAGAAAAAGCCAAAGAGUUGGCAAACAAUAGCCAAAACACUCAAUUAAAUAUGUUGUGGGAU